CUGCCCCUCUUUGCUCGUUGUUGUGUAACAAGAACGGAGUAAAUACCCUAAAAGGACCAAUUUUGCCCGGUCUUGCUGAAUCUUUGACUUCUUCAGUGCUCCUCUUCUUCAAGUAGUCUUACAGCAACUUCAAGAAGAUAAGGUUUGUGACUUCAACCUGCUCCACUACAAUUUCAGGGAGACAAAGUCGGUGGCUAAAAUCUGCUCCAUAGCCGAUACAUGGAGAUAAGAC
rnacentral:lncRNA from 1 species